rnacentral:rRNA from 1 species
GAUGAACGCUAGCGGCAGGCCUAAUACAUGCAAGUCAAGGGGAUAGCAAUAUCACCGGCGGACGGGUGCGUAACGCGUACACAACGUGCCCAAGGGCGGAGGAAAGCGGCGGGAAACUGCCGGUAAUACUCCAUGGUGUCGUUGAGUGGCAUCACUUAACAACUAAAGUACAAGCGCCCUUGGAUCGGUGUGCGUUCGAUUAGCUAGUUGGCGGGGUAACGGCCCACCAAGGCUUCGAUCGAUAGGGGGUGUGAGAGCAUGACCCCCCCACACGGGUACGUNAGGCACGGACCCGACUCCUACGGGAGGGCAGCAGUAAGGAAGUAUUGGAC